rnacentral:tRNA from 1 species
GGUGGCUCAGUGGUAGAGUGCUUGCUUCGCAUGCAUGAGGUCCCAGGUUCGAUUCCUCAGCACCA